UACGUAGGGGGCUAGCGUUGUCCGGAAUUAUUGGGCGUAAAGCGCGUGUAGGCGGUUCGAUUAGUCUUCUGUGAAAGCCGGGGGCUCAACCCUCGAAUGCCGGUGGAUACUGUCGGACUAGAGUACGGAAGAGGCGAGUGGAAUUCCUGGUGUAGCGGUGAAAUGCGCAGAUAUCAGGAGGAACACCAAUUGCGAAGGCAGCUCGCUGGGACGUUACUGACGCUGAGACGCGAAAGCGUGGGGAGCGAACAGG
rnacentral:rRNA from 1 species